rnacentral:rRNA from 1 species
UACGGAGGGUGCAAACGUUGCUCGGAAUCAUUGGGCGUAAAGCGCACGUAGGCGGUCUUUUUAAGUCGGAUGUGAAAGCCCCAGGCUCAACCUGGGAAGUGCAUCGGAAACUGGAAGGCUGGAGUACGGAAGAGGGUCUCGGAAUUCCCCGGUGUAGAGGUGAAAUUCGUAGAUAUCGGGAGGAACACCAGUGGCGAAGGCGGAGACCUGGGCCGAUACUGACGCUGAGGUGCGAAAGCGUGGGGGAGCAAACAGG